UUUUGAUAUUUGAGUAUUUGUAAAAUGGGAAGAAUAAUAAUAGUUUUUUUAUUAGUUUGUUUUGAGGGUUAAAUGAAUUAAUUUAUGUAAGUGUUUAGAUUGGGUUUUUUUGGUGGUUUAGAUGGUAAAGAAUUUGUUUGUAAUGUAGGAGAUUUGGGUUUGAUUUUUGGGUUGGGAAGAUUUUUUGGAGAAGGGAAAGGUUAUUUAUUUUAGUAUUUUGGUUUGGAGAAUUUUAUGGAUUGUAUAGUUUAUGGGGUUAUAAAGAG
rnacentral:misc_RNA from 1 species